UUGUAAGUUUACAGGUCACUGGUCAUUUUUACCUUAAUAUUAACACAAACUGAUCAUUUCUUGUCUCACCAAUUACGCUUUAGAUCAAGCUGAAUAUUCUGGGCAAUCACUCCAUAAUCAUUUUGAGCCAAAUAUAUCAAAAGACCAUACAUCAGAGAGAGAGUUUGGGCCACUGUUUGAGUGAAAGUGUUGGGUCAUACAUCCGAAGAGGAGACUGCAGAGCCAUACAUGACAAAAGAGGUGUAGACAGGGUCAUACUUGCUUAUAGUGGCCAUGGAAGGAGAGACAGUAGUGGAUACUGAAGUGAAGGAAUGGGCGGAGUCGAAGGAGUGCAGCAAGUCAGUGUGUCUCAAAGUGGCCACACAUCUGAACAAAUACCAACUGAGGGAACUCAAGGAGUGGUUGAAGAGUGACCUCGCUUCAUUUGUGGUGUUCAGUCGGCAGCAGGUGGGAUUAGAGGGCGUGGAAAUACUCGACUUCAGCUCCGCUCUGAGAGACACAGACUGGUGAAAGGAUAAUCGCACAUUUGAAAACAGUUCCUUAUACAACAGUUGAAUAAAAUGUUCUAAUAGUCUAACUUCUAAUAAUAACAAGUUAAAAUAAGAAAACUGAAUUAAUAACGAAAGUCUAUUUAAGUU